AGGUAAGCUACUAAGAGCGAAUGGUGGAUGCCUUGACUGGUAAAGGCGAUGAAGGACGUACUAGACUGCGAUAAGCUACGGGGAGCUGUCAAGAAGCUUUGAUCCGUAGAUUUCCGAAUGGGGCAACCCAAUGUAUAGAGAUAUACAUUACCUAUAUAGGAGCGAACGAGGGGAAUUGAAACAUCUUAGUACCCUCAGGAAAAGAAAUCAAUAGAGAUUGCGUCAGUAGCGGCGAGCGAAAGCGCAAGAGGGCAAACCCAGUGCUUGCACUGGGGGUUGUAGGACUGCAAUGUGCAAGAGCUGAGUUUAGCAGAACAUUCUGGAAAGUAUAGCCAUAGAGGGUGAUAGUCCCGUAUGCGAAAAACAAAGCUUAGCUAGCAGUAUCCUGAGUAGGGCGGGACACGAGGAAUCCUGUCUGAAUCCGGGUCGACCACGAUCCAACCCUAAAUACUAAUACCAGAUCGAUAGUGCACAAGUACCGUGAGGGAAAGGUGAAAAGAACUGAGGUGAUCAGAGUGAAAUAGAACCUGAAACCAUUUGCUUACAAUCAUUCAGAGCACUAUGUAGCAAUACAGUGUGAUGGACUGCCUUUUGCAUAAUGAGCCUGCGAGUUGUGGUGUCUGGCAAGGUUAAGCAAACGCGAAGCCGUAGCGAAAGCGAGUCUGAAUAGGGCGCUUAGUCAGAUGCUGCAGACCCGAAACGAAGUGAUCUAUCCAUGAGCAAGUUGAAGCUAGUGUAAGAACUAGUGGAGGACUGAACCCAUAGGCGUUGAAAAGCCCCGGGAUGACUUGUGGAUAGGGGUGAAAGGCCAAUCAAACUUCGUGAUAGCUGGUUCUCUCCGAAAUAUAUUUAGGUAUAGCGUUGUGUCGUAAUAUAAGGGGGUAGAGCACUGAAUGGGCUAGGGCAUACACCAAUGUACCAAACCCUAUCAAACUCCGAAUACCUUAUAUGUAAUCACAGCAGUCAGGCGGCGAGUGAUAAAAUCCGUCGUCAAGAGGGAAACAACCCAGACUACCAGCUAAGGUCCCUAAGUCUUACUUAAGUGGAAAACGAUGUGAAGUUACUUAAACAACCAGGAGGUUGGCUUAGAAGCAGCCAUCCUUUAAAGAAAGCGUAAUAGCUCACUGGUCUAGUGAUUUUGCGCGGAAAAUAUAACGGGGCUAAAGUAAGUACCGAAGCUGUAGACUUAGUUUACUAAGUGGUAGGAGAGCGUUCUAUUUGCGUCGAAGGUAUACCGGUAAGGAGUGCUGGAGCGAAUAGAAGUGAGCAUGCAGGCAUGAGUAGCGAUAAUUAAUGUGAGAAUCAUUAACGCCGUAAACCCAAGGUUUCCUACGCGAUGCUCGUCAUCGUAGGGUUAGUCGGGUCCUAAGUCGAGUCCGAAAGGGGUAGACGAUGGCAAAUUGGUUAAUAUUCCAAUACCAACAUUAGUGUGCGAUGGAAGGACGCUUAGGGCUAAGGGGGCUAGCGGAUGGAAGUGCUAGUCUAAGGUCGUAGGAGGUUAUACAGGCAAAUCCGUAUAACAAUACUCCGAGAACUGAAAGGCUUUUUGAAGUCUUCGGAUGGAUAGAAGAACCCCUGAUGCCGUCGAGCCAAGAAAAGUUUCUAAGUUUAGCUAAUGUUGCCCGUACCGUAAACCGACACAGGUGGGUGGGAUGAGUAUUCUAAGGCGCGUGGAAGAACUCUCUUUAAGGAACUCUGCAAAAUAGCACCGUAUCUUCGGUAUAAGGUGUGGUUAGCUUUGUAUUAGGAUUUACUCCGAAAGCAAGGAAACUUACAACAAAGAGUCCCUCCCGACUGUUUACCAAAAACACAGCACUCUGCUAACUCGUAAGAGGAUGUAUAGGGUGUGACGCCUGCCCGGUGCUCGAAGGUUAAUUGAUGGGGUUAGCAUUAGCGAAGCUCUUGAUCGAAGCCCGAGUAAACGGCGGCCGUAACUAUAACGGUCCUAAGGUAGCGAAAUUCCUUGUCGGUUAAAUACCGACCUGCAUGAAUGGCGUAACGAGAUGGGAGCUGUCUCAAAGAGGGAUCCAGUGAAAUUGUAGUGGAGGUGAAAAUUCCUCCUACCCGCGGCAAGACGGAAAGACCCCGUGGACCUUUACUACAGCUUGACACUGCUACUUGGAUAAGAAUGUGCAGGAUAGGUGGGAGGCUUUGAGUAUAUGACGCCAGUUGUAUAUGAGCCAUUGUUGAGAUACCACUCUUUCUUAUUUGGGUAGCUAACCAGCUUGAGUUAUCCU
rnacentral:rRNA from 1 species